CAGGUUCACAGCAGGUUGAGAUGGCUGCGGUGACAUCCGUGCUGGCACGUUUUUAUGAGCAACCAUUCGUAACGAACGUACUUGCCACAAAGCAUAAUUUCCAUGACACCAAGCUGAUUCACAGGCAGUUUUCUUUCUGCACAACAACACGGCUGAAGGACGGCUUGGUGGAGGCAGACUCCGUUUCCUAAGGGCUUAUCCCAAGUUAGAGUUCAGAGGGAAGGGAAUAGAACGCGACUUGUCCACCAAACAAAAUAUGCGUGUUACUACAGUUGUAUGUAGUGGUCAGGCAAAAAGAAAAUCAGAACUUCCAAAGCUGGAGUGUCAGGUGGUUGUGAACUACUCAACCUGGUUCCUGGGAACCAAACUCAGGUCCUCCGCCAAAGGAGCACAUGCACUUAGCCACUGAGUCAUCUCUGAAGUCCCAGAAACCUCUGAAUGCCCAGGUGACAAGACCAAGGCUGAGAGACUAGGAAAGGGCUAAGAAUCUGAGUCACUGGCUGAGCAAACUACAGGUCAAUGGUGGACCUUCUCAAAAGCAAUACAUAAAUGAUCGAGGAACAAAAGCAUCACAUCAUCAACUUUUGCCCUCCACAACUGCCUACAGAGUAUAGAGAUUAAGUUCUUCACAACUCCUCACCUGCCUAGUUGAUCAGCCCAGCCAUUCUUUCCAUUUAUCUUCUGCAAUCAAGAGAAACUCUUCUGGACAAAAAGAUGUCCUCUGCAGAUGGCACCAGUCAAAAGAACCCAGUAAACACCAAACCUUGGUCUGCAGACAUCAGGAUGUCCCCAGAUGUGGUGUCAUUUCCAACUUGAGAGCAAUGGAGCUAUUUUUGAAUGCUGUUAGUGCCAAGACCUACACCUUCGUGACUAGUGUCCUCACAUUAACCCAAAUCGUUAAUCCACUUCUGAGAAGUUCUAGUGGCCCAAAAGUAAACCUACACAGACUAUUACAUUCAUAUUCUUACAUAAGGUGAACCAGAAGUAGACUCUAGUCAAAAGCGAAGAAAGUUAUACAAUGCUUAUUUGGUCCCCUACACAUAAAAGACUUGAAAAUUUGAGGGUUGAGGAAAUUGCCUGUUUUCAUUAUAUUUAUAUAUAAGAACCAAUCAGCAAUAUCUUUAAAAAGAAAGGAGCCGGGCGGUAGUGGAGCACGCCUUUAAUCCCAGCACUUGGGAGGUAGAGGCAGACAGAUUCUGAGUUCGAGGUCAGCCUGGUCUACAAAGUGAGUUCCAGGACAGCCAGGGCUAUACAGAAAAACCCUGUCUCAAAAAAAAAAGAAAGAAAGAAAGAAAGAAAGAAAGAAAGAAA
rnacentral:lncRNA from 1 species